rnacentral:rRNA from 1 species
AUUGAACGCUGGCGGCAUGCCUAACACAUGCAAGUCGAACGAGUGGCGGACGGGUGCGUAAUGUCUGGGAAACUGCCUGAUGGAGGGGGAUAACUACUGGAAACUGUAGCUAAUACCUCAUACCAUCAGAUGUUCCCAGAUGGGAUUAGCUUGUUGGUGGGGUAACGGCUCACCAAGGAGACGAUCCCUAGCUGGUCUGAGAGGAUGACCAGCAACACGGGAACUGAGACACGGUCCAGACUCCUACGGGAGGAAGCAGUGGGGAAUAUUGCACAAUGGGCGAAAGCCUGACGCAGCCAUGCCGCGUGUAUGAAGAAGGCCUUCGGGUUGUAAAGUACUUUCAUCGGGGAGGCGUUACCCGAAGAAGAAGCACCGGCUAACUACGUGCCAGCCGCCGCGGUAAUUC